rnacentral:rRNA from 1 species
UGUGUGUUAGUGGAAGCGUCUGGAAAGGCGCGCGAUACAGGGUGACAGCCCCGUACACAAAAAUGCACAUGCUGUGAGCUCGAUGAGUAGGGCGGGACACGUGGUAUCCUGUCUGAAUAUGGGGGGACCAUCCUCCAAGGCUAAAUACUCCUGACUGACCGAUAGUGAACCAGUACCGUGAGGGAAAGGCGAAAAGAACCCCGGCGAGGGGAGUGAAAAAGAACCUGAAACCGUGUACGUACAAGCAGUGGGAGCACGCUUAGGCGUGUGACUGCGUACCUUUUGUAUAAUGGGUCAGCGACUUAUAUUCUGUAGCAAGGUUAACCGAAUAGGGGAGCCGAAGGGAAACCGAGUCUUAACUGGGCGUUAAGUUGCAGGGUAUAGACCCGAAACCCGGUGAUCUAGCCAUGGGCAGGUUGAAGGUUGGGUAACACUAACUGGAGGACCGAACCGACUAAUGUUGAAAAAUUAGCGGAUGACUUGUGGCUGGGGGUGAAAGGCCAAUCAAACCGGGAGAUAGCUGGUUCUCCCCGAAAGCUAUUUAGGUAGCGCCUCGUGAAUUCAUCUCCGGGGGUAGAGCACUGUUUCGGCAAGGGGGUCAUCCCGACUUACCAACCCGAUGCAAACUGCGAAUACCGGAGAAUGUUAUCACGGGAGACACACGGCGGGUGCUAACGUCCGUCGUGAAGAGGGAAACAACCCAGACCGCCAGCUAAGGUCCCAAAGUCAUGGUUAAGUGGGAAACGAUGUGGGAAGGCCCAGACAGCCAGGAUGUUGGCUUAGAAGCAGCCAUCAUUUAAAGAAAGCGUAAUAGCUCACUGGUCGAGUCGGCCUGCGCGGAAGAUGUAACGGGGCUAAACCAUGCACCGAAGCUGCGGCAGCGACGCUGAUGCGUUGUUGGGUAGGGGAGCGUUCUGUAAGCCUGCGAAGGUGUGCUGUGAGGCAUGCUGGAGGUAUCAGAAGUGCGAAUGCUGACAUAAGUAACGAUAAAGCGGGUGAAAAGCCCGCUCGCCGGAAGACCAAGGGUUCCUGUCCAACGUUAAUCGGGGCAGGGUGAGUCGACCCCUAAGGCGAGGCCGAAAGGCGUAGUCGAUGGGAAACAGGUUAAUAUUCCUGUACUUGGUGUUACUGCGAAGGGGGGACGGAGAAGGCUAUGUUGGCCGGGCGACGGUUGUCCCGGUUUAAGCGUGUAGGCUGGUUUUCCAGGCAAAUCCGGAAAAUCAAGGCUGAGGCGUGAUGACGAGGCACUACGGUGCUGAAGCAACAAAUGCCCUGCUUCCAGGAAAAGCCUCUAAGCAUCAGGUAACAUCAAAUCGUACCCCAAACCGACACAGGUGGUCAGGUAGAGAAUACCAAGGCGCUUGAGAGAACUCGGGUGAAGGAACUAGGCAAAAUGGUGCCGUAACUUCGGGAGAAGGCACGCUGAUAUGUAGGUGAAGUCCCUUGCGGAUGGAGCUGAAAUCAGUCGAAGAUACCAGCUGGCUGCAACUGUUUAUUAAAAACACAGCACUGUGCAAACACGAAAGUGGACGUAUACGGUGUGACGCCUGCCCGGUGCCGGAAGGUUAAUUGAUGGGGUUAGCGCAAGCGAAGCUCUUGAUCGAAGCCCCGGUAAACGGCGGCCGUAACUAUAACGGUCCUAAGGUAGCGAAAUUCCUUGUCGGGUAAGUUCCGACCUGCAC